CCAGAUCCGGACAGACAGCCUCAUUGUACUCUGACCCAGUACAGGUAGUCGUCGACUUACGAUCACGAUUGGUUCAGACAGACCGGUCUGCUACCGGAAACCGGCUUGUGGUCGUAAAGUCGAACGGUCGUAAAUUGACUACCUAAGUGGACAUCAUUCCAAAAGGCUCAACUGGACUGUCCUGUCCUUCACACCAAAGUGCCUUUACUUAUAAAAGAUGUAUUCCUCUUCUUGUUCUGAUAAGGUUGGCGCUGUUUUGGCUGCUUCCCGCCUCGUGGAAUUUUCUUGGGUCUGCUGUAUGCUGGUUCAGAGGAGGCUGCAGCACAGAUGCCGUUUUGUGAGUGUAGCAAGUACACUUCCUGUACUGACUGUGUGCUGGCCAGAGACCCCUACUGUGGCUGGGACCACAACUGAAUUGCUAUAAACAGCAUUCAUUUCGAUGAACACAGGUACUGAGCAUACAUUAUUCAUAUAAUGUGAUGUAGUGUUGCUGGGAAUAAGACAUGAUGUGGUGAUAUGCUGUAAAAAAAAAAAAAACAAGACUGGGAACAAUUACCUGGUGUGAAAUGGUAACAUGAAUUUUGUCCUACAAAAUCAUGGGGCUAACAAUCUUGUUUCUCGUACUGUAUACCACUGCAAUUAGUCAAUGAUUACUUUUUCAAAUAAUGUCAUUAAUGCUUUAUCCAGUUAUGUAGUAGUUACAUUUCAGUAGUAUAUGUAAGCAGUUAUAAACAGACUUGUAGACAAAUGAAAGCUUUCCAUUUGUUUAUGCUGACACUCGAUACUCCUUUUAUAAUAGUUAAAUAAACAUGGCUUUAAGACAGCAUCACCGCAUUAGUUAUUAUCUUCUGAGUAAGUAAUCAAUCCAGAAUCAAGAGUUAAACAGAACUGUGGUCGUACAUAUUUUAUUACUGUAACUACACUAGUGCCUUUGUAUAAAGUUGGGUUUUCUGUUAUGUUCCUGGAUUUUCUUUCUCCUACAGUGAGGUGGUUCAGAGUCUGAAAGAUGGAAAUGCUACAAGUUGUCCUGCAGUUAGUAUGUUAACAGAUGGAAUUUUAUAUCCUCUAGGACAGCUAGUACGGUUUAAGUCUUAAGUGACUUUGUCAUUAAAACUCUCAAUAAAAGAAAAUUAUACUCUCAAGGAGUAAAAAAAUAUAUAAAAGAAGAAAAAUUAAGAUGACUCGAUAAAUUUGUGCUUUUUUGUGUUACAGAGAACACAGAGAUCAUUAAGAUCUUUUACGGUCAAAUGGUCAGUCUGCCAUGCCAGCUGGGAUCAAACCUGGCCCGAGUGCAGUGGCGUGUAAAUGAUCAACCAAAUGAAAAUGACAAAAAGUACAGCUUCUAAUAUGACAGAUUGCUCAUCCUCGAUGCUUUGGACACUGACAGCGGUAAAUACACCUGCAUCUCUGUAGAGUCCUCCAAUGGUCAAGACUAUGUCACUAAAACUACUACAUUUGAGUUGAAGCUGGGAAACUUUGUAAGUCCUUUGGCCCAGGUGCAAAUACAGGAAAAGCAGAACACCCUCUUGGCCCUGGUCAUUGUUCUAACUAUGAUAUUACUGGCGCUUGUUAUAUGGAACUUCUACAAAGGACAUUUUAGUGUCCCAAGAUGCUUCAGUAAAUCUAAAAAGGACCAGAGAGUACGUCAAACUUCCAGCAGCCACUGAAAAUAGGAGACGGAAAUAAGACAUCAUGAAUUAGCAACAGUAAUAAUAAUCAUAACAGAAUUAGUGAAUUUCCCAGCGCCGGAAACCAGCAUAAUAAAGACAAAGUGUUCUAAUGAAGUUUGAUAUUUAUAUACUUUAUCUUACCACAAUCCAUAUUUCUGUUUUGUUGUAGAUUGUUCUACACAGUAGGUAAAAAUUACACAUAUUAAGAAUGAAAAUAUUCAUUUGCAUCACUUAAAACACAAUUUAUCUACAGUUGUGAAGGUGUCACUGCACAUGUCUUAUCAGAAAUCGAACAUCAAAUGUCCAGAUCUCACGCACUGCUUUUAAAAUGUGUGCUGUUUAAACUUGGAGCUCAUUCAGCUAAAUAUUUUUACACCUUUCUCAUUGCUCAUUGUAUAUAACUUCAUUCUAAUAUUUUGUAAAGAAUUGAUUUGUUUUCAGAUUUAAAUAAACUUUUAGUUUUUUAAGCC